CAAUGCAUUUCUCGUUGACUAAGUAUAACUUUGUCCAUUUGAAGUCGAGUUUCCAUUUGAAGAGGAAGAUCAAAAGUCUUCUAUCAUAGCUUCGCCCCAGAAGGCUCUAUGAAAGAAAUCCGAUAUCAAAGAAGAUUCCUCGAAAGGGAUAACAAGGAUUUGCCUAAUCCUAUGGGUUCAGAUCCAAUCCAAAAAAAAUCAAAAUCAAAAUCAAAAACAAAAAAGAAGAAAAAGAAAAAGAAAAAUUAAAGUCAAAAUGAAAAUGAAAAUGAAAAAAGAGAGAAGGAAAAAAGGGAAAAAGGGAAAAGAAAAAGAGAGGCUAAGGCAAAAACCCGCAAAGGGCGCUCUGUGACCAAAUGUGGUUUUAAGUUCAAAACCUGAAAAGGCCGACUCAAAUUUUGAGCAAAAUAGGGCAUGGACAUUACCAUUAUCGAA
rnacentral:lncRNA from 1 species